UACUGAUACGACUGUUGUGAUUGGCUGACAAGUCAUUGACUGAUAAAUCUGUAGCCAAUUGAACGAAAGGUUACUUGUAAUCUUUAGUCUAGUUAAAGGGGAUAUUCCGUACUUUCUAAUAGUAUAUAAACACAGGUAACUUGUUUAUAUGUCAUUUCUUAAACGCACUCAUCGUUAAGACAAGUAAACAGAUAGAUCUCAACAAUAGAAAGUGAUUUGUUAGACGUUAAACUUGGUUGUAAUCAUCCAGAUUAGUGCCAAAACAUUAACUUCAAUUAUUGCGAAUUGUGAUUAUUAGUGAUUCAUCUUGGAAAAUUAACAAUAUUUCAUACAGAAUCGAGAACAUGAUGGUUAUAGAGAUGCAGAAAUCACACUAUUCUGAGGAGUCAUCUGUACGACAUAAGGAGGAGGGGUUAGAGGUUAAAAGUGGCAGUCUUCACAUGGUCCAGUGCUGUAGUGGACACCUGGUCAAGUUACCGGUAUUAGUACAAGUGUAUAAAAACUGUUUUGAACACUAUGCUGUAAUCUAUAGAGACGCUAAAUAUACAAGUUCAGCAGUAUAUCUGAGUCUGAAGAAUUGUAAAGUGUACAAAAGUGACAAUGACAAUAACGAGAUAAUGUUGGUACAGAACGAUAUUGAUGGAAGUAGUUUAACCCUACAGGUCAGCAGUAAGAAAGAUAUUAAUGACUGGAUUUCAGUGUUACAAUCCGGGACUUCUACGAAAGGGUCUUUGUCUCCGACCUUCCGAAGAGCUGCGUUGAUGCCUGCGCUACAGGAAUCGUUAGAAGAAAACAGUGAGGAAGACGAAGAAGUUGAAAGUUGAAGUAUUUUAACUCUUAACUGACUUUUCCACGAAGUUUUCACACAAACUAUUGGUGAUUUCCUGAAUCAUGUAGUAACGUGAAGAGAAUUUACACAUGACUAAGUUACAUUCCACUUAACACGUAACUUUCCUUAGUCAAAAGGGAUUGGAGAAUAUCAUUUUGUGGGUAUUGUAACAUUUACCGCUGUGAUAUUGAACUCUCUCAGUGAUAGACUUAUGUUGUGUAAAAUAGUGACACUAUUGUUUGGUGCUAUUAAGGUUGUCAAUAAGAUUCUACACAACGAACAAUAUUAGACUGUGAAUAUCAGAAUUCCUAUAUGUGUAGUGUUCCUAUGUGGUGCUAGUAUGGCACUCUUGACUACCUAUAUCUUAUACUUAUUUGUACUUAUGACUUAAGUUUCAUAUCAGUCGCUUUCAUUAAGGUAAUCAGAUCAUAAGAUAUGUAAACAUUUAAUUCAACAAACAACAAUAUUUUAUUUCUGUAAAAUUUUGCAUUUUCAACGAAAAACAUUUCGGUCGUCUAUCCUCUCACACAUUUGAAAUCCCUCGCCCACUAUCGUUCAUUGAGAGAUUCCUAUUUAUAUAAUUCUUCAUUGUUAAGUAACAAAGCAGGUUAAUAAGGGUGUUAUACGAUAUAGGAAGUGACUCUAGGAGAUAAAGAGGUCUACCCGAGUGCAAUAUUUACCUGUUUAUAGAGUGUUUAUAGGGGUAUAUGCGUCACUACCCGUUAUUAUAAUGGAUUGAAGUAUUUAAAUGUUUACCCUUCUCAUGCUCAUUGUUAAAAACACUCGUCAUCUGUGAUAUUUUGUUUUUGUUUUUUUUUUAAUAUAUGUAUUUUUAUAUGUUUUCAAUGUUGAAUAAAAAAUAUGAAAAUUACUUUUGUAUUAACUACUAUUUUUAUAUAUGAAUUCAAGGAAUAGAUAUAUUUUCAAUUUUCCUCUAUGUCGUAAUGUUAAAAACAAAUUUAAAACCAGUGUUUUAACAAUACUCGGAAACCUGUUACAGGAAAUCCCCAUACACAUACUAAGAACACUGAGAGAAAAUAAGUUCCUACUACAUACUAAAACAUAGAAAAACCCGAGCAAAACAUGUGUGGACAAUACAUUAAUAGAAUCCCUAGUCAAGGAUGACACAGAUAUAAAAGUACUUUUAAGUUUGUUUUAUCAUGUUUAUAGGCCAAAAAGAAUCGCUCUCUGUAUAACAUUGUUUUAAAAGGAAGGGAUGUUGUAGGAGUGCUAAUGAGACAACUAUCCAUUAAAGAUCAAGAACAACGGAUACCUGUCUGACCAAUAGAAACAUAAAGAGAUCAUCACGGUGGUCUGAUUGGUAUUGAGACAAUACCCACCAAAGUUCAAGUGAAGAGAAUGCAAGCAAUUAUAAGCAAACCGCGUGCGACCUUCAACAAUGCGAUAAACCAAUACCGUAUACAUAAAAAAAGAUGUGGUAUGAUUGCCAAUGAAACCACUCUCCACAAGAGACCAAAUGAGACAAAUUAAUAACUAUAGGUCACCGUACGGCCUUCAACAUUGAGCAAAGUCAAUACCGCAUAGUCAGCUAUAAAAGGCCUCCAAAUCACAAAUGUAAAACAAUUCAAAAGAGAAAAAUUUUCAGGCCUAAUUUAUAUACAAAUAUGAAACCCAUAAACAAACGACAGCCAAUGAAUUACAGGUUUCUGACUUCGGACAGGCACAUACAAGCAGAAUGUGGCGGGGUUAAACAUGUUAGCGGGAUCCCAAACUCUCCCUCUAACCUGGGACAGUGGUGUAACAGUAUGCAACAUAAGAACGAACUUUAAAAAAUCAGUUGAAAAGGGCUUAACUCCUUAGAUGGAUACAAAUACAAAUAUAACACAGAGUGAACGUGGCCGGGUACUUUAUAGUCUGCUAUAAAAGGUCCAAUUUACAACAAAGCAAAUUUCGAAAAACAAAUAUGACAGACAUGAAAGAGCCACUGUACUACAGGCUCUUGUAUGGUUACCCUUCCCUAUAAAACACAGACACAAAGACAGACAUUAGAGAGCCACUGUACUACAGGCUCUUGCAUAGUUACCCUUCCCUAUCAAAGACAGACAUGAAAGGGCCACUGUACUACAGGCUCUUGUAUGGUUACCCUUCCCUAUAAAAGACAGACAUUAAAGAGCCACUGUACUACAAGCUCUUGCAUAGUUACCCUUCCCUAUAAAACAAUGACACAAAGCAAGCUUAAAAAGUCCCAGACAUGUCAAAAUAUUGAACAAGCCUACGGUCCAUGUAUUUAUAUUUAUAUAUUAAAGGAAAGAAAAAAAUAUUCCAGUCUGCAACAAAAGACAACCGCUGGAUCACAGAGUCCUUCGACACAUACAUAAUGUGUUGGGGUUCAACAUUACAGAUCACUCCUCAAAAAUUGGAAAGUGUCGUGGCAAUACAACAAAAGUAUAGACUGUAAGAACCAAUUAUAAAGAACUUCUUCAAGUAUACAAACUUCAAUAUAAAUAAUAUCACAUUUUUAGCUUUAUAUUUCAUGAUAUCCAAAACAAAUAAUAAAAUUGUUCAGUUUUUGUAUUAAUGACAAACCACGGAAGCUGUUACAUGUAACUUGAGAACAACAAAGUUUGUUAUUUUUUGCCAUUGCAGGAAACAACGACACGAUGUUAACAUUUAAACAAAAUGUCAUAUAUAAUCACAAUCAAAUUGUUUGGUCGAAGCGGACGAGGGGAAGGGUAUAAUUCGGGCAAGAUCCUUCUGGAAACAUGAUAUCACUAACGUGCAAACUUGACUCUUGCAUGUAUUUGAGAUAUAAUGGAAGCUAUUCUUCACGUUCUAACUUUGUCUUCUCUUUCUAUCGUAUAUGUGUUCAGAUUUUUAUAGUAUCAUAGAAUAGGCAGAAGAAGAUAGAAUUGUGACCCAACAAAAAGGUUUCAAUAUUAAUCGAAGUAUGAUCAAGUUGUCAUAAUACAGAUAUACAUGUAUAAGGCAGUCAGUUCGAAAUUAAUAGUCAUUGUACAGGUAUCCGAAUUAUUAUAAAAUGAAAUUUAGAAAGAUUUAAUCACUUAAUUGCAGAAUGUGAAUUAUUCAUAUUUGUCUCUGAACGUAUUUUGUUAUUUCGCCGGGACGGAAUGAAAUAAUAGUUUAUAUGAUACAUUAAUUAAAUAUUACAUGUUACAUUAUUGUUUCAGGUAAGGGUGAAUGUUGGUACCUAUAAAAACUUUGAAACAAGGCAGCUGCAUUUGUUUGCACCUUUCAUAAGUCAAUAAGUGUUUCACCAUUCUCUUUAUUUAUAUAUAGAAGAGACCGUUAGUUUUGCUGUUUGAAUGGUUUUACACUAGUCAUUGUAGCAUGCUGUUCGGUGUGAUCCAUGGCUCCGCAUUGAGGAUCGUACGCUGACCUAUAAUGGUUUUUCGUUUACAAAUUGUGACUUGGAUGGAGAGUUGUCUCAUUGGCAGUCAUACCACAUCUUCGUAUAUCUGUAAUUGUAUAAGAAGCAACAAUUAAACCUUUUUCGUGGUAAAGCAUGAUAAAUGACAGAUGAUUAUAUUUGCUGACAGAAUUGUGUAAAUAGUAGAUUUAACAUACAACCACUGUCUGGAAGAAACACGUGUAAUUUAUUUCAGCAAGGUUAAGGUAAUAAUAAUCUUAUCAGUUUCUACGAUAGAACGCGACGAUCUGUUUUUAUAUGUCUAGAUGCAUGCAUACAUGAGUCACUCUAAUUCUUUAUUUAGUACAAAAUAUUAUAUAACGAUAAAGACAUGCUUUACUAAGUCGUUAUACUAAUGGAAAUUGAUUAUCUACUAAAAGACACAGUAUGUUUUAGAAUUAAAGACACCGUAAUCAUUACAUACACAUCCAAAC
rnacentral:lncRNA from 1 species